GCUUUAUUUGGUAUGGAUCGGACAAUUACUUGUUAUGUUGGAUGAGGCAGUUUGUAAUGGUGGUUUCUAGGUUUGGUUCUAUGUAUCCAUUGUUGAACUUUUUGAAGGCAUACAUACUGUUGUAAUUAUUGAAGUUAUAGCUACUUGGUAUUUUUUUUUUUUUUGUUUCUUUGAGAUUCAUAUGUUUGUGGAAUUGCAGGGAGUGGCUGAGCGAGUCUGUCUUAGUCUCUUGCCUACUAGUGAGGGUAGUUGGGUUACUGUUGCAAGGGCAUUGAGCAUCUUUCACACAUGGAAGCAUUGUGGCGGAGCUCUGAUGCGAAAAUUGAUAAAGCACAGCCAGCCAUUAAAAUCAGGCUAGGGACAAAGCUAUGGUUGUCAACUUAGAGUUUAUAAAGGCUAUAGUUACAGCUGAAGAAGUGCUGUUGCUUGAUCCUCUCUGCCAGGAGGUUCUUCCGUUUGUGGAUCUGCUGCGGCAACAACUUCCUCAUAAAAGCGUGUCCAAAAGUCAAGGAGGGGGUCAAAUGGAUGUACAAGAUAAUGAAAUGCAAUUAUCAUCUAGGGGACAAUGGUUAUCCGUUCCUAAAGCCGUUGAAGGUUUGUAGUGUGACCUCCCAUUUGAGUUUCAAGUUGUUGAGAUUGCAUUGAAGGUUGUCUGUACAUAUUUGGACUCUAGUGUAGUAGACCUUGAGAGAAAUGCUUACCCUGUAUUGGAUGAACUGGUGAGGAAUGUUAGCACCAAGAAUCUUGAGCACGCGAGGAGUUUGAAAAGCAAUCUGGCCAGUUUACUUGUACGGGUACAAAAGGUGCGUGAUGAAAUUGAACAUCUUUUAGAUGACAAUGAAGACAUGGCACAUUUAUACUUAACAAGGAAAUGGAUUCAGAGUCAGCAAUUUGAGGCUUAGUUAGCAGUUCAUCAAUUUUGGUUGCAAGUGGUGUCUUGAUAUGACUAGAUGGCAAGUGGUGUGUUGGUAUGACUAGAUGGCAAGUGGUGUCUUGAUAUGAAUUGCAUCAUGUGGACAACAAACAUUAAUUUGUAAAUUGUCCACAAAUGUUAAGCUCAAAACUUGUGUUCUUAGUAGGUGGUCAUUAUUAUGUACAUGGUUCCUUUGUCAUGUCUUAUGUUUGCUAGGUAAAUACUAUGUUUGCUAGGAUGUGUGAUCCUUUUAUUUGGUUUUAGUUUUUAGAAAUUAUUAUCUUUUUUUAUUUUAUAUUUUUUUUCAUUGAUGCUUGUGACUGUCAAUAGUAACUUGGGUUAUUUGCUCUCAAGGAAUCACAAAACACACCGAGUCAUUCAAUGUCUCUCAACUACCAAAGCUUAAAUUUUGUAGUAAUCAGUGUCUUUAUAUUGUCGGAACUUAUGUUUACAAACAAAUGUUUCUUUGAGUGUUAAGUUCAUGCAUAGUUGAUGGAAUUGAACUUAAAACAUAGGAAACCCAAUUCAAAUAGUUGAAAUGAUGAUGAUGAUUUUCAAUUGUGUAAAGAGAUAUUCCUUCCCCACAUGCUUUUAUUGAUCCAAAGAAGACUCGAGCAUCUAGGGAAGUGUUAAAACAAUUCAUGGACCACUCUCUAAUCUUAGAAUUGGAAUCAUCGGUGAUUACAAAAAUUUCUUUUUCCUGAGUCUAACCUUUUACUUUCAUGGCUAGCCUUUCCAAGAACUUAAGUGGCUGGAGAUAAUGGCUAAAAACCAAUAGUUUCUCACCACCUGAUUUGCACAAGCCUAACAGAUUAAGGAAGAACUUUGCCUUCACUCCUCUAAGGGUCAAGUCUUUUUCAUUCUUUUGAGGCUUUUCUUUUGUUGACUAUUUUAAUUCAAUAUAUGCUUGC